rnacentral:rRNA from 1 species
UACGGAAGGCAGCAGUGGGGAAUAUUGCACAAUGGGCGAAAGCCUGAUGCAGCUAUGCCGCGUGUAUGAAGAAGGCCUUAGGGUUGUAAAGUACUUUCAUCGGGGAGGAAAAAACAAAACUAAUAAUUUUAUUUCUUGACGUUACCCGAAAAAGAAGCACCGGCUAACUCCGUGCCAGCAGCCGCGGUAAUACGGAGGGUGCUAGCGUUAAUCAGAAUUACUGGGCGUAAAGAGCACGUAGGUGGUUUUUUUAAGUCAGAUGUGAAAUCCCUGGGCUUAACCUAGGAACUGCAUUUUGAAACUGAAAUACUAGAGUAUCGUAGAGGGAGGUAGAAUUCUAGGUGUAGCGGUGAAAUGCGUAGAUAUCUGGAGGAAUACCUGUGGCGAAAGCGGCCUCCUAAACGAAUACUGACACUGAGGUGCGAAAGCGUUGGGGAGCGAAACAGGGAUUAGGAUACC